rnacentral:rRNA from 1 species
CCUACGGGGGGCAGCAGUAGGGAAUCUUCGGCAAUGGACGAAAGUCUGACCGAGCAACGCCGCGUGAGUGAAGAAGGUUUUCGGAUCGUAAAACUCUGUUGUUAGAGAAGAACAAGGAUGAGAGUAACUGUUCAUCCCUUGACGGUAUCUAACCAGAAAGCCACGGCUAACUACGUGCCAGCAGCCGCGGUAAUACGUAGGUGGCAAGCGUUGUCCGGAUUUAUUGGGCGUAAAGCGAGCGCAGGCGGUUUCUUAAGUCUGAUGUGAAAGCCCCCGGCUCAACCGGGGAGGGUCAUUGGAAACUGGGAGACUUGAGUGCAGAAGAGGAGAGUGGAAUUCCAUGUGUAGCGGUGGAAUGCGUAGAUAUAUGGAGGAACACCAGUGGCGAAGGCGGCUCUCUGGUCUGUAACUGACGCUGAGGCUCGAAAGCGUGGGGAGCAAACAGGAUUAGAUACCCCAGUAGUC